UACGUAGGGGGCAAGCGUUGUCCGGAAUGACUGGGCGUAAAGCGCGCGCAGGCGGUCUUUUAAGUCUGAGGUGAAAGGCUGGGGCUCAACCCUGGCAUCGCCUUGGAAACGGGAAGACUUGAGGACUGGAGAGGCAAGGGGAAUUCCACGUGUAGCGGUGAAAUACGUAGAGAUGUGGAGGAAUACCAGUGGCGAAGGCGCCUUGCUGGACAGUGCCUGACGCUGAGGCGCGAAGGCGUGGGGAGCAAACAGGAUUAGAUACCCUGGUAGUCCACGCGGUAAACGAUGAGUGCUAGGUGUCGGAGGGUACCACCUCCGGUGCCGAAGGAAACCCAAUAAGCACUCCGCCUGGGGAGUACGGUCGCAAGACUGAAACUCAAAGGAAUUGACGGGGGCCCGCACAAGCAGUGGAGCAUGUGGUUUAAUUCGAAGCAACGCGAAGAACCUUACCAGGACUUGACAUCCCCCUGACGGGAGUAGAGAUAUUCCGUCCCUUCGGGGCAGGGGAGACAGGUGGUGCAUGGUUGUCGUCAGCUCGUGUCGUGAGAUGUUGGGUUAAGUCCCGCAACGAGCGCAACCCUUGAUCAGUGUUACCAGCACGUAAAGGUGGGGACUCACUGAUGACUGCCGGUGACAAACCGGAGGAAGGCGGGGAUGACGUCAAAUCAUCAUGCCCCUUAUGUCCUGGGCCACACACGUGCUACAAUGGGCGGUACAACGGGAAGCAAGAGAGCGAUCUGGAGCGAAACCCUAAAAGCCGUUCGUAGUUCGGAUUGCAGGCUGCAACCCGCCUGCAUGAAGCCGGAAUUGCUAGUAAUCGCGGAUCAGCAUGCCGCGGUGAAUCCGUUCCCGGGCCU
rnacentral:rRNA from 1 species